UUUUACUUUUGCUUUUUCUUUUAAAAGCUUUUCUGUUUUAUUUUAGUUACUGUUUUAAGUAGUCUUGUACACAUUUUCUAUAGCAGUGAUAUGCAGUUCUCCUGCAAAUAUUCCUUCUAAAAUAAAUUGGCUUCUCACCUAUUUCAAUUUGGAGUGAACUAAAAGAGUUGAAGCAUUAGCACAAAAGAAACCACAUAAACAUACAACCAACUUGUCGGAGUGAAUGAAAAAAUUGCAGCAGAGAAACAUUUUUCAUUGUACUCUUAGUUUAUUAUUGCUUACUUAAAGUAGAUGCAUGCUUGAAAGAUCAAAGGAUCAUCCUGUGUCUAUUUACCUUAUAGGCUCCAUAUAUCCUUACAUCUGACGCCGCCCUUGCCUCCCCUCACAACCAAACCAAUCUGUCCAAACAAGGUCUUGUGAAAUAUUGACAUACCAGGCACUAUAGCCUUAUAUCCAUUGGUACCUAUUCAUGAUUUUUUAGAACGAUAAACUGAACUGGUGCAAGAAGCUAUGACACAAGGAAGAAUGCAGCAGUAAAGGCGGAUGAGGAAGGAGAGUAUAUAUCGUUAGUGCUACUGUUUCAUCUCUAUGAAGUCUGAAGUCUUGACUAAUCUUUCACUGAAUGAGCCUGAAUGUAUGUUUGUUCCUUUUCUGCUUCAUAAGAGAGCAUCUAUGUGCCUCUGGAAUAAACAAUCUCCACAAGGUGAGAAGCGGCCUUCAGGUUAUCCGUCGUACCAUGUAACCAGACAGAAUCGUAGACCUGACGAUGCCAAAACAUACAGUAGGGUUUGCUACAGUUUAUAAAUUAUAGAAACUGUAAGCAUUUUGUUGUUCCAGUACCUAGCGCUGAAUUAUGAGCAAUACUGAAAAGGAAGAUGUAAUAUACUAAUGUCUGAAUGUGUCAUUACAUAAAAGGGACAAAUUCCACAUACAUAAAUUUAAUGCCUAAUCCAAACUAUCUGAUUCCAUAGAUUAGAAUGUGUGUUACCACACCCCUUAAAGCUGGCCAUAUCUAGUUAGCAAAUGCUAAUGAGAUCAAAAUCAGUCAUGUACACCUAACAAAAUGAAGAGAAAAGAUGUAGGAACUGAGCAGACGAAAGUGAAGCAGAACAAAGGCUAAUUGGAGGCAUCGGCCCACCUAACUGAAGUUUUAGCCUUCACUUCUUGAAGUAUCGUUAUCAAAAUCAUAAAAACAGCUUAAUCAUUGAUGGCUACUCAAUAUGCAUCGUAAGACCAAGUUUCUGUAGGGCUGGUUCUAGGUUAAAUUGCUUGCUUAUGGUACACACCGGCAUAAGCUUCUCUGUUUCUCCUCUUCGGCAACUUCGGCACCCAGGCGUGAAGAGCUCAUUACCGCGCCAUUUCUUUGUUUCUCCUCGUCAGCCACUUCGGCACCUAGGCUUUGAUCAGGCGGAUAGAGUAGGACAAAGAGUUCGUCAUGCGACCAGGAGGCGCAUAGAGUAGCAUCCUCUUCGUCAUCAUCUGCCUCCAGCUCGUUGGGGGCAUGGGGGAGCUAUGAGGAGCUAAAUCUACUGAGAAAUGGGCAGCCAACAGCCGACCACGGCAGCCCAGAAAGAACCGAAUCAGACAACGGCCUCAAACACAAACCAAAAUGCACCCCAAUCGUCCGAAUCCGCAGUCGCACGAACCCUACACCGGGGCUGUAACCGUAGCAGCGGUUCGUUGGAGAGGAUUGGGUAUGGCUUGGAUGGGACAGGGGCGAGAGAGUAGAAUGGUGGAGCUCAUUACCGUCAUCAGAGAAGAUCCAGAGGCCGGCGGUGAUGGUACAGAGGAGGGCAAGGUGGUGACCCAGUCGAUGAUGGCGGGAUGAAGGGGCAAUCUGCAUGAGGUGCACGAGAAGGUUGGAGAUGGGGGCAACUUUUUUUUGCAACCGACCUUGUGGCUUGCGCAGAUUUUUUUUGACGCCUCGCUGCAGUUUCUAGCCUCGUGUCAUGCAGACAGGUGGGACCAGAACGAACCAGCGCCCAGGAAAUCUAGGGAGCUUAGGUUUUGGAGGGGAUAUAUGGUCUUUCAGAUGUCACUUGAUUAAUGUAUUAGUUUUUACUACAUUAUACAUAUAAUCCAUGAUGCAAUAGUAUUUUGGAAAUACUUUUCUAAACAAAUUUAUACACAAGAUUUCCGAGUCUCUAAUCAAGGCAUCAAAUUUUAAUUUUCUGACUAUCAGUUUCUUUCCGUGUCCCUAUAAUAAAACAUGGGCGGUCUUCUCUGGUGAAUACAUUUUAUGUUCAUUAUCGUUUAGCUGAACCGGUAGGAUGAAACAUCCUCGUAACAUGUUUAGGUGAACCGGUAGGAUGAAACAUCCUCGUAACAUGGCUAAGAACUUGCAAAGAAAAAAUAUAACACUUGGUAUAUGAAAAACUUGCACUAGAGAUUAUUGAAAUCCAAAAUAACUCACUUAUAUUCAUUUGUUGUUCAUCUAACUCCAAAUAUCUCAUGUAUAUUCAUUUGUCUUUCAAAUACUCACUUAACUGAGAAUGUUCAAUUUUCUUCUCCUUUUCUUUUUGAGGGAAUUUAGAUGGAAGUCUAGAUGAAUACCUAGGCACUACUGUUGAGCUACCAAUGUUGGGCAUGAUUUGAUUUAUUUUUUCUAGUUCUUCUAGUAACUUUGAUUUUCUUCUGCUUAGUACUCUUUUUUUUUGGUUGGUUACAUUUCUAGUAACAAUAUACCAAGUAUGAACAUAGUUAUUUGUUUUAGGUUGUUGAUUUUUUUGCUCUGCGAAUAUUUUCACGUAUGACUAUCCCAAAUGAAAACUAGAACAUAUAGAUUGAUGUAAUACAUUGCUAGUUGAACAUAUUCUUAAGAAGCACCGAGAUAUUUUACCUGAUGAAAUGGAGAAUAACAUUUCUCAAUGAAUCAUGCUUAUACAAACUGCUGGAACUUCGAUUCUUUUGUGGUCUGCCCUUCCUUGUCAGUGAAAUACUCUCUCCGUCUCAUAAUAUAAAGAUGUUAUGCCAAGCUGUUUUAGCUUGCCAAAUUUUCUUAUAUUGUGGGGGCGGAGGGGGAAAGUUUUGACUAUCAUAAUAUAUCAGGCAAAUCACAGAACAACGCAUACACGACGCACACAAUGCACAUUUUUCUAAUUUAUAAACUAUGGCUCUCACACCGAACUUUCCUCCGAACUUAUUUUGAAAAUCCACGAUCUUAGAGCAACUUUAAGGAUAUUAGAGAAACUAUCAUUUUGAGCGGGAGUAUGGUUGUAAAUCAUAGCGUCGUGACUAAACAGCGAAAAUUGGGAGGUGUAAUUUCCUCAUAGUAAAAAGUUCUGUAAAGGGUAAUUAGUAUUCUAUCAAAUUAGGAAUUAAGACAUUCAAUUUUAAUCGGUUUUAGUGAGUUCAACUCAAUUCCAGAGCCGUUGGAUUAGAGUGAUUGACCAAAAUGGUGUGCGUCGAACUUGAACUUUCUUGGUGUGCCGGCCCGCCACUCCGAGCCAAGCGGGACGGACAUAUGUUAAGCUAAUUUAUCUCCGUAUUCUUUGCUCUCUUCCAUUCCUCGAUCAAUCCAAGAAGAGAAGACGCCAACACUAUGAGCUGGCCCGACCUGCCGGCCGAGCUCAUCGCGGGGAUCGCCUACAGGAUCACCUCGCACGCGGACCUCGCACGCUUCCGCUCGGUGUGCCCGUCAUGGCGCUCCGCCUCUGCAGAGCACGCCGCCUGUCGCCGCGUCCCGCUACUUCUCCUGCACACCGAAGACCACUUCGGCGUCAACCGCCGUCUCUGGUCCCUCGCUGACGACACCGUCGUGGAGGUCCCCGUCCCCGCCGUGCGCGUCUUCUCCUUCCUCUACGCCUCGCAUCAUGGCUGGAUGCUCGGCGUUGCCGACGACCUCUCGGCCACGCUGCUGCAUCCCUUCACCAGUGCGUCCGAGAGCCUACCCGCACUGCCGCCCUCCUUCCGGGACAACGGUCAGGAGAUCCUCUGUGACAUGGUAUGGGAUAAAUCGCCUGACGCCGUCAUGGUCUCGCCGGGAAUGGGCGCGUACUUCUGCCGGCUACGGCCCGGCGACGGACCGUGGAGCCCGGUCGGCGGCUGCUCGCAGGGCGCUAACCAUGUCAGCAGCAUCACCUACUGCGACGGCACGGUCUACCUUCUGGACGGGCGCGCCCACAGGGUGACGACCGUGGACGCUGAAACCUUCGACGUUGCCGCCGUGAUCGAGCCACCGGACAUGGCCGCGCCACCCCACACCUGGCUCGAACCCGAGUCCGCCCUCAUCGUCUCGUCCGGGGAGCUGCUUCUGAUCGUCAGGACGCACCUCAUGUUCGAACCAUUCUUCCACGGCUCGGACUGCCUCUUCAAAGCCUUCCGCGCGGACGGCCGGAGCCCGGCGGCCGCGUGGUCGGAGAUCGCCGGGGCGACAUCGGCGAGCGCGCCGUGUUCGUGGACCACCUCCGAUGGUUCUGCAUCGAGGCCAACGGGGUCAACGGGGUGCGGCGGAACUGCAUCUACGUGGCCAGCUCGUACGAGGAGUUCACCGAUGAGUACCUGGUGGACGGCUACGGGAGCUACACCGUGUCCGUGCUCGACUUGGACGACCUCACUACCCAGUCCCUCUCGCUCGUGAUCUGGAGAAAUGCCGGCGCAGUAGGUUCUGGCAAUGGCCCUCCUGUUUUUUUUUUUGAGACCCCUCGAUCUGUGUUAUAGUUGUAGUAUCUCAACUCAUGCACUAACUCAACACCACCCGCACACCCCUAGUGCACAAGCUAGACCCUAGAACUAUACAUACAGCACGCAUAUUUUUAAGUGUCUGUAAGAGCUAAUAGUUGUGGCACAUAUGCAUGGGAGGAGAUUUUAUUAAGAGACACAGUCCCAACGAGACAUGCCAGAAAUUUGGCCUCAGCCGGGACUCGAACCUGGGAUGGGUCGGGUGGCGACUGCCAACCCCAACCAUCGAGCCACUGCUCGUUCUCGGCAAUGGCCCUCCUGGUUCAUGCCAAAUCUGCACUGAUCGCAGCAAAACUACGUGAUCACAUAAGAAUUUCCAAGAGUGCAGAACGAGUACUUGUUGUUGGGUUGAUCUGCAGGCCAAACUAGGCUGCAAGAGUUGGCAAAACCAACUUUUCUAAGUGCCCUGACUGGGGGCAAAGGCUACAACUGACAGAUGGGUCCCCCUGUGGCACUGUGCACAUAUAUGCAUAAAUAUGGGGUGUCUCUCUCUGGAAGGUGAUAAGAAAAGAGAGAGAACCAAAACUUGAACACCCCACGGCUGUCCAAUCCAGCAAGCACAGGAGCCACGGGAAGGGCCUUCCUGCACCUUCCUAUGAAGUCUUAGAUGCUAUAUCCAGCUGAUUCCACUAAUUUUGAGGUAUGUUUGAUCUUGUGUGGCUCAAUUCUUGAGCUAGAUGAUCCUGAGUAUCUCUAAAAAUGGUAUCAGAGCAUGUUAGCUCUCAAGUUUGAGCCCUCUUAGUUCAGGAUCUUGCUUGUUUUGUUUAGUUUUCUUACUAAAGAUCAAGUUUAGCCCUACUAUUAUGAGGAACAAGUCCUGAUGAAUUAAAGUGAGGUUCUGGGGUAUUCAAUUUAUGAAGUUAAGUAGGGAUUGAAAUUUUUCAGUAAGGUUUAAUCAAAAUCCCCAAAAUUAUCCGAAACCCUAGAAUCCCUAACUCCCCAAAUUAAGCUAGGGUUUUCGGUAUGAGCAAUUAAGAUGAAGGGGAAAAUGAGUCAAUCAUGUAUGAAUACUAAAGAAAAUCCCCAAAUUACCGAAACCCUAAUUAUGAAAUUUCCCAAAUCGGUGGAACCCUAACACUCAAAAUAUGAAAUCAAAGAGCAGCGGAUGAUUUACUUACGGGCCUCGUCGUUGUCGCCGGCCACGGCGGUGUCGGAGCCACCAUCUUAUGCUUGCAGCUGCACUCGGGCUCGAACCCGAGCGGCCUCGCCGUCCGCUGCACCGGCCGGUGGCUACUGCUCUUCCCC
rnacentral:lncRNA from 1 species